CAGAGGAGAGGAGACCAACAACUCUGGAGGCAUCAGUGCUUGCUCUUUGCAUGCCUGACAGCUGAGACAAAGCCAUGACCUGCUGUGUCUGACCACAGCUGUAUCACUAAUACCAUUCCAUUCAAUGUUCAGCUGGGUUCACACUCGACAGGAUGGUAGCACCUUUGUUCUGUGCUGUGGGUGCAAUCCAUCAUAAGGAUAGGGAGAAAACCCAUAAAUUUAAAUAGCUUCAAGAAGAGAUAAAAAGAAACAGCAAAAAAAGAAAGCAGCUCUGCAAAACAGCGAUUUGCAGAGAGCUUCAGGUGAAGUCCAUUUGAAAACGGUUUUUCUGUUUUCUCUUAGCCAAGGGAGGUAACCAGUACAUGGGAAAACAGGUGGAUUUCAGCCGGACCAGAUGGCAGAUCUGCCUUGGGCUGGCACUGUUGCUGACACAAGGAGACAGCAUCAAGGACCUCGCUGGAGCCAAGGUAAACAACCACCCACUGCUCUCCUCUCAUCCACUGCUCUAGUCAUCUCAUUGCAGAAGGCUAUCAGGUUGGUAAGGCACAAAUCCACAUUGACUACCCUUAAUCACCUUCCUGUCCUUAAUACAGUUUGCUCCUUGAUCCUUCCCUGGGAUCAAGGUCAGGCUGCCCAGACAGUACUUCUCCAGAUCCUCUUUUUGCCCUUCUUCAAGACAGAGCGAUGUUUAUCUUCUUCCAACAAGUUUGUAGUGGUUCAUUUUCCUUAUGUUCACUGAAAUCCUCUCCCAUCUGACCUCAGAUAUGGUGAUGCUCCCCCGUGCCCCUUCCUGUUCAGUAAUGAGUUACUAGGUCUGCUUAACUGCCCAUUCUACAAGCUCCUAGCUACCACAUUCCCUCUGCUUCUGCUCAGCUCUCUGCUCCUUCUUCUCCCCAGUCCUGGUGAUCCCCAAACCCACUGUGGGUAUUGCUUUCUCACAGUUUUAUUACUAAAUUUUGUCAGCUUUCGAAUGGCAUCCGUCAGCAGCAUUUCAAUAUCUAUCUUAAAUUCACUAAAAUACUAGCACAUUGCUAUUUUAGAUACUUCUGCUGUGCAGCAGCUGUC